GUCCAACAACGAAUACCAGUUUGACCUCCCCACCGGAGAAGAGCUCUUCCGGCCUCCCGCUCCCGUCCGCCCACCCUCUUCCUCCCCCCCCCCCCCAACCCCCUCCCCAAAACCCCACCGGAUUCAGAACCCUCUCUUCGAUAGUCCUCGCUGGAGAUCGAAGACCUCGAGCUUGUUUCUCGUCCUCCGCGCUUCUCCGGCCGGCAAGAAGGCGAUGUUCUGAUCCCCCUUUCCUUCUCGAUCCGGAGGAAAGAGCACAUAGGGAAGCGAUUACCAUGGGCUGCGUUGGAUCCACUCAGAGCAAAGGCGAAGAGAAUACUACCAAAAAACUCCGUAAGCCAAAACCAUGGAAGCAUACUCAGCCAAUAACCAGGACACAACUUAGACAGAUGCGUGAUGAAUUUUGGGAUACAGCACCUCACUACGGUGGCCAGAAAGAGAUUUGGGAUGCACUUCGAGCAGCAGCAGAAGCUGAUUUAACCCUUGCACAAGCAAUAGUGGACAGUGCUGGUAUCAUUGUUUCAAAUGCUGACAUGACUCUUUGUUAUGAUGAAAGGGGUGCUAAAUAUGAAUUGCCCAAAUAUGUUUUGAGUGAGCCUACAAAUUUGACUCGGGAUAGUUGACCAAAGGCAGGAGCUCAAGCAUGAAUAUGUCAGAACUCGCGCAUGAAUAAGUUAUUGUACAUCAUGCAAAAGAGGGUAUAGUCUGCGGUUGUCUUCAUGUUGCAUCAAACGAAGUUGGUGUGUAUACGGUGAUUGAGAGGAACUUAAUAGUUCUAAUGUCUUGUCAAUCUGGCUUAUGUGUUCAUGCUAGAAAAUGAAAUUGUUGGGAUUUUUAUUUUUAUUUUUAUUUUUUUCCUGUCCGCAGAACUCUGAAUGGCUGGAGCAAUCCGACAGGCGGAAGUCAAUGGCAAUGUAUUCUUUUAUUUUGAAUUGAGAUCUUUGCAAGUAUAACCUUAAAAUAUUUUAAGUGCUCUUGGUAUUUGCCAUCUCUAAUAAUUUAUCUUAUGAAUGCACAAUAUUCUUUAAGGUUUUCCCGCAAUAUGAUCAGGGCAAGCAUUUACAAUUACCAAAGUAACUGACAACAAUAGUUCUCCAACUUAAACCUUUGCAUGACCUUUGGACUUGUGGAAGAAGCACCAUGGUAGCAAUGUCUUUAGACUGUGUUUGGUUUGGAUAUAAAGUAGGAUUAAGGGUUAGAUUAAGUACCUGUGAAACGACAUUUAAGGAUGAGGCAUAAUCAAGGAAUAUCUGGUCAAGCAUGAUUAGGAUUUGCAUAGUUAUUCGAAGAAAAACCUGUCGUAAGCUAUUCAAAAAUUAUUUCAGAAGGGUGCGUUUUGCCAUUCAAAAGCAGAGGCAAACAAAAUUUGUCAUGAUUGAUGGCAUAACUACUCCCAGCGUUCUUUUUAUGCAGCAACUACUGUUUUCCCAUUUUCCAGAUUGUUGAUUUUUAUUGCUCUGUCAAGGAAAAAGGUUCUCACCUA